AACAGCCGAGGGAAUGAAUGUCUCCCGCGGCCUUUGCGCCGAAACCGCUUGAAUGACGAGAGCUGAUGACUUCUGCAACGAU
rnacentral:ncRNA from 2 species